rnacentral:sRNA from 1 species
GUUCUUUUCUUGGAUCAUUGUCCCAAUGAGUUCUCUUCUGUUCUUGCUUGUGGCUAUUCUUCCGCUUCUUUACAAUAUUGCUGCUGCUUGUUCUAAUGGAACGUGCAAGCUUCUUGAUGAGUGUUCGUCAGAUGGAGAUUGUGGCGCUGGGCUCUACUGUUUUUCCUGUCCAUUGGGGUUUUCAGGUUCUAGGUGUGUUAGAUCAACUGUAACAAAUCAAUUCAAGCUCAUAAAUAAUUCUCUGCCAUUCAACAAAUAUGCAUUUUUGACAACGCACAACGCUUAUGCGAUUGAUGGGGAGCCAUCUCACACAGGCGUGCCUCGAAUAACUAUCACAAACCAGGAAGACACAGUCACCCAACAGCUAAAUAAUGGAGUGCGGGCACUAAUGCUAGAUACGUAUGAUUUUGACGGAGAUGUGUGGUUAUGCCAUUCAUUUGAAGGCCAAUGUCAUGACGUCACAGCUUUUGAACCCGCCAUAGACACACUGAAGGAAAUUGAAGCUUUUCUAUCAGCAAAUCCAGCUGAAAUUGU